rnacentral:rRNA from 1 species
GGUCGAAUGGGGAAAUUCAUUCGCGUUUCGACAUCGGGGUAGAACAUUUUUGCGACGGAUAGUGGCUCUUGUUUUGCUGCUGCGCUUAUCGUUUGUCUUGCCGUUGUCGAACGCGUGCACUUUUCCUCUAGUAGGACGUCGCGAUCCGUUGGGUGUUUGUCUAAAAAUCGGAGCGGUGCCCACGAGACAUUUAAACGUCACGUGGACCUUCGAAUUUUCGACAAACUCGCUCGACGGUAUAUUAAAGGCGCGAGGCCGCUAUUGUUGUGCGUGCGAAAUAUCGCGUACAACAGAAUUAGCGUUCGGCCCGUAGCAAGCACGUACCGUUUGAUGGCGAUCGGACCUAGCGCCGAUUCUAUCACGGGACGACUGUUGGUUACGGUGUUCUCGAACAGACCUCG